CCCUUAGAUGUUCUGGGCCGCACGCGCGCUACACUGACUGACUCAACGAGUGUACAACCUGCUUCGACAGAAGUGGGUAAUCUUUUGAAAUUCAGUCGUGAUGGGGCUAGAUUAUUGCAACUAUUAAUCUUCAACGAGGAAUGCCUAGUAAGCGCGAAUCAUCAGUUCGCGUUGAUUACGUCCCUGCCCUUUGUACACACCGCCCGUCGCUCCUACCGAUUGAAGUUUUCGGUGAAUUUGCAGGAGGUUUGCUUUGAAACUGGUUCGCCAGUGGAUUUGUGGACCAAAUGCAUGUGAAUCGAUGGCUUUAGAGGAAGGAGAAGUCGUAACA
rnacentral:rRNA from 1 species